rnacentral:rRNA from 1 species
AUUGAACGCUAGCGGGAUGCCUUACACAUGCAAGUCGAACGGAGUGGCGAACGGGUGAGUAAUGUAUCGGAACGUGCCCAGUAGCGGGGGAUAACUACGCGAAAGCGUAGCUAAUACCGCAUACUAUUGGAGCGGCCGAAAUCGGAUUAGCUAGUGGGGGGGGUAACGGCUCACCAAGGCGACGAGCCGUAGCUGGUUUGAGAGGACGACCGGCCACACUGGGACUGAGAAACGGCCCAUACCCCUACGGGAGGCGGCAGUGGGUAAUUUUGGACAAUGGGGGAAGCCCUGAUCCAGCCAUCCGGCGUGUGCGUUGAAGGCCUUCGGUUGGUAAAGCACUUUUGGCAGGAAAGCGGUACCUGCAGAAUAAGCACCGGCUAACUACGUGCCAGCAGCCGCGGUAAUUC